AGCUUUGUGCAGUGGCAAUAUUGUAGUCAAUGACGUUUAUCUGAGGCUCGAUUGUUGCUAAUUGAAAAAAAAAAAAAGAAAAAGAAAAGAAAGGACUUUGGUUUAGUUUGGUAGAUCCUUAAACCCCAAAUGUGGG